ACGAGAUAUUCAGCUGAUGCUACC
rnacentral:siRNA from 1 species